AAGACGUUUAAACCAUGGGGCGGGAGCGAGCACCAGCCGGUGCCUGAGGGCAUCGGAUUCACUUCCCAACCACUCUUUAUGGGCUAUUUUUGUAGCCAGCCACUCGAUGUGGUUGCAGUGGGAAUGGGCAAGGGUAGAGGAAGGAAGGAGAGGCAAACUCACCAAGAGAAACCGAAAUCCCCUUUCUCCAAGUCAAUUGUCAGGGGGCCAUCUUUGUAUCUAAAGCCUGUGGUUUUGCUCUCUUGUGGUGCGACAAGUGGGUGCUCAUGCGCCCCCUCUGGGCAAACAAGUAAGGUGCAGCUAUAUUCAGACAGAGAAGACGCUCCUGUGUCCUCCUAGGCGGUUGCAGCUGGAAGGCAAGCUAUCUUUAAGUAAGGAGCACACCUCCGUUCUUCCCUGAAGGAGAUUGUCACCUAGCUCUCAAGCCUGCCUGUGACGAUGCCUCAUCAACCUGCAGUGCACAGAAUGGUCUGACUGCUCAAAUAUCUCCAGGGGAUUGAUCCAAAGUCAGGCCCUGAGCACAUGGAGCUGAAGGAGAAGACUAACCUGUACAGAAGAUAUCUUCUGUGCUCUGGAAUGUUCUCUCGUGUUACCAGUCUUCUUGGAAAGACACAUUGCUCUUAUGGGGUGCCUAGGAUCCAUCCUGGGUUCUUCCACACAAGUGGGCAUAAUACAGCUACCAAGAGCAGUCGCUGUGGUGGCCCAGGAUUCUGGCUCUGGUGCCUGUGGACCAUGCUGCACCAUCUAUGGAGAAGUAUCUCACGCCUUUGCUAGGGAUCCAGUGUCGCUGUCUCAGUGAGGGGACAGGACACAUGGUUUGGAAAAGCUUCUUUCUUCCAUAUCUGAGACUCAUAUCUCAAACUUUUCUUUUUGGGAUCUUGGGUGUGAUAUCUUUCUUGCUUUAAUCUAAAUAUAGUUUUGGGCAUGAAGAAAAUGCUUAGAAAGCCGAUGGCUUGCUGAUGUCAGAAGGAGAGAGUGCUAGUUUGCAUUUUGCCAAACUGCCUUUUACGCAGAUCACAUUUCACUCAAUGGCCAGGGUUUUGACUCUUGCCAACAUGAUGUUUAAAAUAAUCAAUAUCUUGGUCCAUAGCUGCAGCCCCUUGGCAAGACUGCUAAGAUAACUGGCCUCCAGUGCUGGCUGUGAAGGUUUUGAACAGAUCUCAGUACACAGGAAACGUUUACGUUAUUGGAAGCGUGUGUUUCUAUGCGGGGAGAUGGUGUAUAAUCUGCACAUAAACUCCAGGCGGGCUGAUAGUACUUGUAAGAAAGAGAUAAGUCUUUGGGGUAGUUUUCUGUGCUACCCGGUGUCUCUGAACCUGAGGCUUUGAGAGAGAUGCUUUGCUUCUCAAGUUCAAACCUCUUUUAAUUUUUAGAAUAAUAUAUAGUAAAUAUAUCCUAACACUUUAAAAAUUAAAUGAAUAGUUCCACCAUGUUCUGGCAUGUUCUGUUGUUCCAAACCAUCUGUAACUUACAUAUCAAAUUUACAACCCUUCCAAUGAGGGUUUCUUUUUAACCACAAGCACUCGUUUUUAGAGGUUUCCAGCAUUCAUAUUUAUAAUCCAAUAGUUUAUCACCUUCUCAAAGAAAAUGGGGGGAGGGGGUUGCUGAUUUUUCCAUCCCCAUGCCGCUGGCUGCUACUUGCUGGCUUCUUAUCUUCAGUGGUACCGUUUCUGGGAAUGUCAGUGUGUCUCUGGCAAAUUUCUUUUGUGUGUGUGUUGGAAUAAAUUGCCCAGAUGGAGACAGAAUAUUAACAGUUUCUUGGCCUUUGAUGUGAGUUGUUACACUGAUUUGUUAAAGAUCAGCAGAGAUGUGUGCCUUGUGACUCGCAGUGGUUGAACUGCUGAGGCAGGGGCGGUACUCCCAGUGUAUUAACAGGUAGAGUUAUUAGCUCCUGCCCUUCCAAACUGAGGCCAGCUGGCCAGCCCAUUGGGUACACUGCUUGACCAGCAGCCUUAUUCAGACAGCAAAGGUUUAGUUACUCCAGGACACCCUUCCCCGGGUGUCAUGCCCCACCCUCUUCUUUUUCUUUCUUGGCCUCUAGCUGUCUGAUGCUUCUUUGGCGAGGUAGAGAUAAUAGACAAAUGGUGUUUUCCUGAGUGGUGGCCCUACUUCUGCUUUUGUUAGCCCACUUAACCCUGGAAUAACCCUGUUAGGGUGAAUCACUCCCAUCCCAUAGCCAUUCAUACUGAAGUUUACCCAGGUGCACAGAGAUGCAACCUCACAACCCAGGGUUAAACCCUGCCUGGAUAGCCCCUAGGGUGUCAGUAACAAGCCUGCCUGGGCUGUGAGAUACUGUAGGUGCAGGGUGUCAGGAAGAAGGGGGACAGGAUGGGGGCUGGACUGUCAGAGGAGCUGAAGCUAGGAUGCCUCAGCUUCCCCUGUAUUCUUUCGGUUCCUAUAUUAUUAAGCAUUUCCAUUGGCUUAUGUCAUAUUUAUUCACAGCUGUCAAAUGUUAGAUGAUGUCAGAGGAGGGAGGAUGUAUUCAAAGCCCAGUUACUAAAAUGUCUAUUUUGACUUAAAGAAGUCUUCUGCCUUACACUUGUCUCACAUCUCUUUAAUCUAUAGUCACUUCUAACAAAGAACAUACAGGAUCCAGCAGCACUUUAGGGGAUUCUCGCCAAAUUCACUUAAGCGUGGACCCUUUUGUUGAAUUAUCACCCAGACAUAUCCUUGUCUAUUUACCGUCUAUGAAACCAUUGGCAUCUAUUCUGGUCCAUUACGGAGCCAUCUAUGUAGUUUGAGAUUAAACCUUGAUUGCUUUCCCG